rnacentral:rRNA from 1 species
AUGAACGCUGGCGGCGUGCUUAACACAUGCAAGUCGAACGAGAAGUGAAGACGGAAACCUUCGGGCGGAAGGCUUUAUUUCGAGUGGCGGACGGGUGAGUAACGCGUGGGUAACCUGCCUCAUACAGGGGGAUAACAGUUGGAAACGACUGUUAAUACCGCAUAAGACCGCAGCACCGCAUGGUGCGGGGGUAAAAACUCCGGUGGUAUGAGAUGGACCCGCGUUCGAUUAGCCAGUUGGCGGGGUAACGGCCCACCAAAGCGACGAUCGAUAGCCGAUCUGAGAGGAUGACCGGCCACAUUGGGACUGAGACACGGCCCAAACUCCUACGGGAGGCAGCAGUGGGGAAUAUUGCACAAUGGGGGAAACCCUGAUGCAGCGACGCCGCGUGAGUGAAGAAGUAUUUCGGUAUGUAAAGCUCUAUCAGCAGGGAAGAAAAUGACGGUACCUGAGUAAGAAGCCCCGGCUAACUACGUG